UGGGGAAUAUUGCACAAUGGAGGGAACUCUGAUGCAGCGACGCCGCGUGAGUGAUGAAGGAAUUCGUUUCGUAAAACUCUGUUCUAUGGGAAGAAAAGGACUGUACCAUAGGAGAAAGCUCCGACUAAAUACGUGCCAGCAGCCGCGGUAAUACGUAUGGAGCGAGCGUUGUCCGGAAUUAUUGGGCGUAAAGGGUGCGCAGGCGGCUUUACAAGUUGGAUGUGAAAUAUUGUGGCUCAACCACAAACGUGCAUCCAAAACUGCAAAGCUUGAGUUAAGGAGAGGUAAGUGGAAUUCCUGGUGUAGCGGUGGAAUGCGUAGAUAUCAGGAGGAAUACCGGUGGCGAAGGCGACUUACUGGACUUAAACUGACGCUCAGGCACGAAAGCGUGGGGAGCAAACAGG
rnacentral:rRNA from 1 species